ACGGGGUGCAGCAGGCGCGAAACCUUUGCAAUGUGCGAAAGCACGACAAGGUUAAUCCGAGUGUCUCCCGCUAAAGGAGUCUUUUGUCAGUUGUAGAAUCACUGAUGAAUAAGGGGUGGGCAAGUUCUGGUGUCAGCCGCCGCGGUAAAACCAGCACCUCGAGUGGUCAGGAGGUUUAUUGGGCCUAAAGCAUCCGUAGCCGGUUGCAUAAGUUUUCGGUUAAAUCUAUGCGCUCAACGUAUAGGCCGCCGAAAAUACUGUGCAGCUAGGGAGUGGGAGAGGUACACGGUACUCAAUAGGAAGGGGUAAAAUCCUUUGAUCUAUUGAUGACCACCUGUGGCGAAGGCGGUGUACCAGAACACGUUCGACGGUGAGGGAUGAAAGCUGGGGGAGCAAACCGGAUUAGAUACCCGGGUAGUCCCAGCUGUAAACGAUGCAGACUCGGUGAUGCAUUGGCUUGUGGCCAAUGCAGUGCCGCAGGGAAGCCGUUAAGUCUGCCGCCUGGGAAGUACGUACGCAAGUAUGAAACUUAAAGGAAUUGGCGGGGGAGCAC
rnacentral:rRNA from 2 species